GACGAACGCUGGCGGCGUGCCUAACACAUGCAAGUCGAACGGGACUUAAUGGAAAGCGGCUUCGGCCAAUGGAAGUUAAGUUUAGUGGCGAACGGGUGAGUAACGCGUGAGAAACCUGCCUUUCAGUGGGGGACAACAGUUGGAAACGACUGCUAAUACCGCAUAAUGUAUUUUAGGGGCAUCCCUUUAAUACCAAAGAUUUAUUGCUGAAAGAUGGUCUCGCGUCUGAUUAGCUAGAUGGCGGGGUAACGGCCCACCAUGGCGACGAUCAGUAGCCGGUCUGAGAGGAUGAACGGCCACAUUGGGACUGGAGAUACGGCCCAGACUCCUACGGGAGGCAGCAGUGGGAAUAUUGGGCAAUGGGGGAAACCCUGACCCAGCAACGCCGCGUGAAGGAAGAAGGCUUUCGGGUGUAAACUUCUUUACCAGGGACGAAGGACGUGACGGUACCUGGAGAAAAAGCAACGGCUAACUACGUG
rnacentral:rRNA from 1 species